AAGUUAAUGUUGAUAAAGGUCAAAU
rnacentral:misc_RNA from 1 species